rnacentral:rRNA from 1 species
CAGCCGUAAACUAUGCUCGCUAGGUGUCAGGCAUGGCGCGACCGUGUCUGGUGCCGCAGGGAAGCCGUGAAGCGAGCCACCUGGGAAGUACGGCCGCAAGGCUGAAACUUAAAGGAAUUGGCGGGGGAGCACAACAACGGGUGGAGCCUGCGGUUUAAUUGGACUCAACGCCGGACAACUCACCGGGAACGACAGCAACAUGUAGGCCAGGCUGAAGACCUUGCCUGAAUCGCUGAGAGGAGGUGCAUGGCGUAGACGUCU